rfam:Bacillus sp. B-jedd genome assembly, contig: CONTIG000002
UACUUAUCAAGAGAGGUGGAGGGAAAGGCCCUAUGAAACCUCGGCAGCAGGCCGGACGGCACUGUGCCAAUUCCUGCAGGCAUGAAGCCUGGAAGAUAAGGA